GUGACGACUUAUUCAUGAGACAAGCGCUAGAAUUGAACAGGACAUGACUUUGUCAAGUCUAUUUUCAGCUUAAUACUUUUAUUAUACUUUGAUGAACUGACGAACUGCCUCGACGCCAAAAUGUCUGUGCUCAGAAGCAUCAGAUGCAAGCCUCAAGUGUUGUGUAGACAUCUAAUCGCGUGGUCUUCGUCCAGUCUGACUGAUUGAAGGUGAAGUUUCCUCAAGCUUCAUCGCUCAAGGUCAUCAGGAGGCUGUGGUGCAAUGUACGAAAUACACAUCGAGUCCGAUGAAUUUAGAGGAAAGAGAACAGUACAGCAGCACCA